AUACCGCAUGUGGUCCUCGGAUUUAGAAACUGAUGACUAAAGGAGCAAUUCGCUUUGGGAGGGACCUGCGUCCCAUCAGCUAGUUGGUGAGGUAAUGGCUCACCAAGGCUACGACGGGUAGGGGACCUGAGAGGGUGGCCCCCACAAUGGAACUGAAACACGGUCCAUACACCUACGGGUGGCAGCAGUAGGGAAUAUUGCACAAUGGGCGAAAGCCUGAUGCAGCAACGCCGCGUGUGCGAUGAAGGCCUUCGGGUCGUAAAGCACUUUUCUGAGGGAUGAGAAAGGACAGUACCUCAGGAAUAAGUCUCGGCUAACUACGUGCCAGCAGCCGCGGUAAAACGUAGGAGGCAAGUGUUAUCCGGAUUCACUGGGCGUAAAGCGCGUGCAGGCGGUUCGGUAAGUUGGGUGUGAAAGCUCCUGGCCCAACUGGGAGAGGUUGCUCAAGAC
rnacentral:rRNA from 1 species